UGCUGAGAUAUAAUGUCCCUCUCCAUAGAAAUGAUGGUACCUUCAGGAUCCGUCUGGAUGUAAGACCAAUUCAGUGCACUAGAGGCCUCCCCACAAAGCUUCAAAUCAAAAUUUUUGUAGUAUAUAUCGGAUCUCGUCAAAAAUCGAAACAUGGUGCUUAUUGAGGUGAAGAUGUUGUCUGGGUUUUCUCCUUUAAAGAGCUUGAUAGAACAGUUAAAGACCUAUAAAGUAAUUCAGAGGGCA